rnacentral:misc_RNA from 1 species
GAUGAAGAACGUAGUGAAAUGCGAUAAGUAAUGUGAAUUGCAGAAUUCAGUGAAUCAUCGAAUCUUUGAACGCACAUUGCGCCCGCCAGUAUUCUGGCGGGCAUGUCUGUUCGAGCGUCAUUUCAACCAUCAAGCCCCCGGCUUGUGUUGGGGACCUGCGGCUGCCGCAGGCCCUGAAAAGCAGUGGCGGGCUCGCUGUCACACCGAGCGUAGUAGCAUACAUCUCGCUCUGGGCGUGCUGCGGGUUCCGGCCGUUAAACCACCUUCAUAACCCAAGGUUGACCUCGGAUCAGGUAGGAAGACCCGCUGAACUUAAGCAUAUCAAUAAGCGGAGGA